AGUGAACGCUGGCGGUAGGCCUAACACAUGCAAGUCGAACGGCAGCACAGUAAGAGCUUGCUCUUACGGGUGGCGAGUGGCGGACGGGUGAGGAAUACAUCGUAAUCUACUUUUUCGUGGGGGAUAACGUAGGGAAACUUACGCUAAUACCGCAUACGACCUACGGGGGAGAGCAGGGGAUCUUCGGACCUUGCGCGAGUGGAUGCGCGGAUGUCGGAUUAGCUAGGUGGCGGGGUGAAGGCCCACCAAUGGGACGAUACGUAGCUUGUCGGUGGGGAUGGUCACUCACCCGGGAACCUGACCCUCCGCCCGGCCCCUUCGGUAGGGCCCAGUGGGGAAUAUUGGACAGUGGGGGCAAGCCUGCUCCAGCCAUCCCGCGUGGGUGAAGAAGGCCUUCCGGUUGUAAAGCCCUUUUGUUGGGAAAGAAAAGCAGCAGGUUAAUACCCCGCUGUUCUGACGGUACCCAAAGAAUAAGCACCGGCUAACUUCGUG
rnacentral:rRNA from 1 species